rnacentral:rRNA from 1 species
GAUGAACGCUGGCGGCGUGCUUAACACAUGCAAGUCGAACGGUGAAGCAGAGCUUGCUCUGUGGAUCAGUGGCGAACGGGUGAGUAACACGUGAGCAACCUGCCCCGGACUCUGGGAUAAGCGCUGGAAACGGCGUCUAAUACCGGAUACGAGCUGCGAAGGCAUCUUCAGCAGUUGGAAAGAAUUUCGGUCCGGGAUGGGCUCGCGGCCUAUCAGCUAGUUGGUGAGGUAAUGGCUCACCAAGGCGUCGACGGGUAGCCGGCCUGAGAGGGUGACCGGCCACACUGGGACGGGGACACGGCCCAGACUCCGACGGGAGGCAGCAGUGGGGAAUAUUGCACAAUGGGCGAAAGCCUGAUGCAGCAACGCCGCGUGGGGGACGACGGCCUUCGGGUUGUAAACCUCUUUUAGCAGGGAAGAAGCGAGAGUGACGGUACCUGCAGAAAAAGCGCCAGCUAACUACGUGCCAGCAGCCGCCGUAAAAC